GACGAACGCUGGCGGCGUGCCUAAUACAUGCGAGUCGAGCGCAGGAAGCUGACGGAACUCUUCGGAGGGAAGGCAGUGGAAUGAGCGGCGGACGGGUGAGUAACACGUAAGGAACCUGCCUCACGGAUUGGGAUAACUCCGCGAAAUCGGAGCUAAUACCGGAUAGUUCAACGGACCGCAUGGUCCGCUGAUGAAAGGCGCUCCGGCGUCACCUUGAGAUGGCCUUGCGGUGCAUUAGCUAGUUGGUGGGGGAACGGCUCACCAAGGCGACGAGGCAGAGCCGGGCUGAGAGGGUGAGCGGCCCCGCUGGGACUGAGACACGGCCCAGACUCCUACGGGAGGCAGCAGUAGGGAAUCUUCCACAAUGGGAGAAAGUCUGAGGGAGCAAGGCCGCGUGAGUGAUGAAGGUUUUCGGAUCGUAAAACUCUGUUGUAGGGGAAGAACACGUACGAGAGGAAAUGCUCGUACCUUGACGGUACCUUACGAGAAAGCCACGGCUAACUACGUGCCAGCAGCCGCCGUAA
rnacentral:rRNA from 1 species